UAUCAAAGGUGAGCCAGUACAGGAUGGACCCGCGUCUGAUUAGCUAGUUGGUAAGGUAACGGCUUACCAAGGCGACGAUCAGUAGCCGACCUGAGAGGGUGAUCGGCCACAUUGGAACUGAGACACGGUCCAAACUCCUACGGGAGGCAGCAGUGGGGAAUAUUGCACAAUGGGCGAAAGCCUGAUGCAGCAACGCCGCGUGAGUGAGGAAGGCCGUCGGGUCGUAAAACUCUGUCCUCAAGGAAGAUAAUGACGGUACUUGCGUAGGGAGCCCCGGCUAACUACGUGCCAGCAGCCGCGGUAAUACGUAGGGGGCUAGCGUUAUCCGGAUUUACUGGGCGUAAAGGGUGCGUAGGCGGUCUUUCAAGUCAGGAGUGAAAGGCUACGGCUCAACCGUAGUAAGCUCUUGAAACUGGGAGACUUGAGUGCAGGAGAGGAGAGUGGAAUUCCUAGUGUAGCGGUGAAAUGCGUAGAUAUUAGGAGGAACACCAGUUGCGAAGGCGGCUCUCUGGACUGUAACUGACGCUGAGGCACGAAAGCGUGGGGAGCAAACAGGAUUAGAUACCCUGGUAGUCCACGCUGUAAACGAUGAGUACUAGGUGUCGGGGGUUACCCCC
rnacentral:rRNA from 1 species